rnacentral:misc_RNA from 1 species
CUUAACUUUAUUUGUACUACAAAAUCAACUAUUUCUUAUUGUUUAAAUGAUAUUCCCUUCAUUUUAAAGUGAUGAUUACUCAUCAUAUCCUCGACUAUAUCUAUUAUUUGUUGUGAUUCUUAUUUUUUAUUUCUACUUUUAUUUCUACUUUUAUUUCAGUUUCUUAAUGGUUUUUUUACCGCAAUCUACUCCUUUUUUUAAUUUUGUCAUCAUGUUUGUUUAUGAUUUUGUGAAUAGCAUCACUUGUCUGAUUAU